rnacentral:rRNA from 1 species
GGGCCCGCACAAGCGGUGGAACAUGUGGUUUAAUUCGACGCAACGCGAAGAACCUUACCUGGGUUUGACAUCCCGGCCGACACCAGAGAUGGUGUUUUCUCUUCGGAGACCGGGUGACAGGUGCUGCAUGGCUGUCGUCAGCUCGUGCCGUGAGGUGUCGGGUUAAGUCCCAUAACGAGCGCAACCCCUAUCUUUAGUUGCCAGCGGUUCGGCCGGGGACUCUAAAGAAACUGCCCGCGCAAGCGGUGAGGAAGGUGGGGAUGACGUCAAAUCAUCACGGCCCUUACGUCUUGGGCUACACACGUGCUACAAUGGUAGUGACAAUGGGCAGCCACUCCGCGAGGAGGCGCAAA